UCUUGAAACACGGACCAAGGAGUCUAACAUGUGCGCGAGUCAUUGGGACAGUAAAACCCAAAGGCGCAAUGAAAGUGAAGGUCGGCCUCGCGCCGUCCGAGGGAGGAUGGGUCGCUUCAAACGCGGCCCCGCACUCCCGGGGCGUCUCGUUCUCAUCGCGAGAUGAGGCGCACCCAGAGCGUACACGUUGGGACCCGAAAGAUGGUGAACUAUGCCUGGUCAGGACGAAGUCAGGGGAAACCCUGAUGGAGGUCCGUAGCGAUUCUGACGUGCAAAUCGAUCGUCGGAACUGGGUAUAGGGGCGAAAGACUAAUCGAACCAUCUAGUAGCUGGUUCCCUCCGAAGUUUCCCUCAGGAUAGCUGGCACUCGUCUUAAGACGAGUCUCAUCUGGUAAAGCGAAUGAUUAGAGGCCUUGGGGCCGAAACGACCUCAACCUAUUCUCAAACUUUAAAUGGGUGAGAUCUCUGGCUUGCUCGAACUAUGAAGCCACGAGAAUAUUAACUCUCUGAAAGGAUCAGAGUGCCAAGUGGGCCAAUUUUGGUAAGCAGAACUGG
rnacentral:rRNA from 1 species